rnacentral:rRNA from 1 species
AUUGAACGCUGGCGGCAGGCCUAACACAUGCAAGUCGAGCGAGCAGCGGACGGGUGAGUAAUGUAUGGGGACUGCCCGAUAGAGGGGGAUAACUACUGGAAACGGUGGCUAAUACCACAUACUAUAGGAUACUCCAUAUGGGAUUAGCUAGUAGUUGGGGAAAAGGGUCACAUAGGCGACGAUAUCUAGCUGGUCUGAAGGGAUGAUCAGCCACACUUGGACUGAGACAAGGCCCAAAAUCCUACGGAGUCAGCAGUGGCGAAUAUGGCACAAUGGGCGCAAGCUUGAUGCAGCUAUUCCGCGUGUAUGAAGAAGGCGUUAGGGUUGUAAAGUACUUUCGUCGGGGAGGCGCUACUCGCAGAAGAAGUACCGGCUAACUCCGUGCCAGCAGCCGCGGUAAUUC